rnacentral:lncRNA from 1 species
CAAGAAGUUAUAUUUGGGGGAUACUUUAUUGGGUGAAUUUGCCAUCUAACCAAGUUUGGAGUCAAAAUUAAGUAAAUAGCUUUGAUUUUGACGUUAUUAAAUUGAUAACAUUUCGUACACCUUUUAUCCGAUUAUGUCAUUAUCUUUUCUAAGUUACCGGUGAUAGUGAGACCAAAGAUUAACGUUGACGAGCGCACAUGUCCAAGAGAAAUUGAGAUUUAAUAUGGUCUACGUACGGGUUAAUUUCUAAGUAAGUGUUCUAUUCCAUUUAUAUAAGUACUACGUCAGAUAGAACAAACAGAACAUCUUCAUAAACUUUAAACCUAACCUGCACACCUAAAUACUAAACCAUAAACUCGAGGUUCUAAACCCAAACUCAAAUAUUAAAUUUAAUUUAAAGUUACAAUAUUUUAAAGAAAACAACAAAAAAAAUAUAUAUAUAAAUUUUGAACUAUUAUUCUAUACUAUCUAACAUGGAAUGAAGACUACUCUUGUAAUUCAACCCCAACCCACCUCCAACCCUAAACCCAACACACCUCCAAGACUGAAAUACUAAACCCUAAACUUGAAUUCCUAAACCC